CCUUGCUACCCCUCCAAAUCAGCUAUUCUAUCACAAUAUUUAUUCCUUUGAUUCUACAAUAAAUGUAUAUGAUCAUGCUAAUUUAUAUCACUAUAUAAUUACAUUAAUACAUACAAUCAUUUAGUUGUCCAUCAUGCUAACAUCCCCCCUCAAAUUGAUGUUGGUGGAUCAAGAAGCAUCAAUUUGCCAACUAGAAACUGAUG
rnacentral:lncRNA from 1 species